GCUCAGGAUGAACGCUAGCUACAGGGCUUAACACAUGCAAGUCGAGGGCAGCGGGAUUGAAGCUUGCUUACAAGUUGCCGGCGACCGGCGCACGGGUGAGUAACGCGUAUCCAACCUUCCGUACACUCAGGGAUAGCCUUUCGAAAGAAAGAUUAAUACCUGAUGGUAUGGUGAGAUUGCAUGAUAGCAUCAUUAAAGAUUUAUCGGUGUACGAUGGGGAUGCGUUCCAUUAGGUAGUAGGCGGGGUAACGGCCCACCUAGCCGACGAUGGAUAGGGGGUUCUGAGAGGAAGGUCCCCCACAUUGGAACUGAGACACGGGUCCAAACUCCUACGGGAGGCAGCAGUGAGGAAUAUUGGUCAAUGGACGAGAGUCUGAACCAGCCAAGUAGCGUGAAGGAUGAAAGGUCCUACGGAUUGUAAACUUCUUUUAUAAGGGAAUAAACCCUCCCACGUGUGGGAGCUUGUAUGUACCUUAUGAAUAAGCAUCGGCUAACUCCGUG
rnacentral:rRNA from 1 species